CGUCAAGGGGUGCUACAAUACGUUGAUUUCAUUGACGUUGCGAGGCUGAGAUUAUACCCUAAGACCUGAUCCGGAUAAUACCGGCGGAGGAAACGACAA
rnacentral:ncRNA from 1 species